ensembl:misc_RNA Metazoa_SRP Metazoan signal recognition particle RNA
GCUAAGCGAGGUGACGUGUGCCUGUGGUCCCAGCUACUCGGGAGGCUGAGGUGGGAGGAUCGCUUGGGCCCAGGAGUUCUAGGCUGUAGUGCGAUAUGCCAUUCAGGUGUCCGCACUCAGUUUGGCAUCAAUAUGGUGACCUCCCAGGAGCGGGGGACCACCAGGUUGCCUAAGGAGGGGUGAACCGGCCCAGGUCGGAAAUAGAGCAGGUCAAAACUCCCGUGCUGAUCAGCAGUGAGAUCGCGCCUGUGAACAGCCACUGCACUCCAGCCCGGGCAGCAUGGCGAGACCUCGUCUAU